CUUGCUAGCAAGCGUGGACGACCGCUUUGAGUGUUGAUUGGACAAGCUGGACGUCCAUCAGGUCACAAUGAGGGCCCUCCUGAGACGCGACUACAGGAAGACGACUUUCUUCACGUGAGCGGUGGAGGCCUUCCCGGAUACUAGAGGGUGACAGGAUCGGCGUUAGGCGGGGCUCCUGCGGCCCGCGGCCCGCCGGAAAAGAGGGACUUCCAGACGCAACUUCCGGUUCCGUUGGCGGCAGAUUCCCCCCCCCCACCUACGGUAACGCGGCCGGCAGUCCUGCGAUGGCGUGGGCCAGGGAGAUGGUGGGCAUCCGCGCCUCACCCGCUGAGACCCUUUGAUUCCAGGCACCACACAAAGACAUAUACAAGAAAUGCCGAGAUGAAACAGCUGUUCGGAAAGUCAAGCAUCUGCACCUUUAACAGCAGAGGGUCUGUUAAGUUGCCUCCAGAGUCAGCAAGCUUUCACUCAUGCUUCCAUCGCUGUAAGCUUUUGUGUUCACACAGAUCUGUUUGGACCUUACAGUAAGCCUAGAGUGCAAGGUGUGGCAGUGUGUGCCUGUCUUCCCAGCAGCACGGGAGAGACUGAAGCCAGAGGAUGUCAAGUUGAAGCUGACCCUUCAAAAAGAACGGAGGAUGCAGGCCAUCGAUUUUGUUACUUUCAUGUUCUGCUUUUAUGUUCCUGUUGAAUUAUAGCAAUACCAGAAAGUCCCUCAGAAUCCUAAGUGAUAUCUGCUGGCUUGCAAACGCAUGCAUGCUGUGCUUCUGUAUACAUGUAGAUACAUGCAUGUCUACAUAGGCUAGUGGUCUUUAUGGUUUAUAACAUGGUGAUGAUAGUUCUGAUCCAAAGAGUUAAUGUAGUGAAAUUUUCUUUUGGUUUUGCUUUUUUGGACAGGGUCUUACUCUGUAGCCCAGGCUAGCCAUGAAUUUGCUGUGAUCUUCCUGUUUCUGCCUCCAAGUGCCAGAAUGAUUGUAGACGUGUACCAUCAUACCACUAAUAAAAAAAAAAUCCAAACCGUGUUUUUCACCUCUAAAAGUGUGCUUGCUC